rnacentral:rRNA from 1 species
AUUGAACGCUGGCGGCAGGCCUAACACAUGCAAGUCGAGCGAGCGGCGGACGGGUGAGUAAUGUAUGGGGACUGCCCGAUAGAGGGGGAUAACUACUGGAAACGGUAGCUAAUAACGCAUCCUAUCGGAUAACCCAUAUGGGAUUAGCUAGUAGGUGAGGUAAUGGCUAACCUAGGCGACGAUCCCUAGCUGGUCUGAGAGGAUGAUCAGUCACAUGGGGACUGAGACACGGCCCAGACUCCUACGGAGGCAGCAGGGGGGAAGAUGGCACAAUGGGCGCAAGCCUGAUGCAGCCAUUCCGCGUGUAUGAAGAAGGCCCUAGGGUUGUAAAGUACGUUCAGUCGGGAGGCGUUACCGACAGAAGAAGCACCGGCUAACUCCGUGCCAGCAGCCGCGGUAAUAC